GUCACCUUCUUCGUGUCGUGAAUUUUUAGCUCCCCAUCCAUCGGCAAUAUCAUAACCGAACUUGUAAUUACCCCAAGCCUAAAGCAAAGAGAGCAAAAAACAAUUCCCCCAAGAUUAAACAAUUUAAUCCAAUUUGGUGUUUGAGUGACCACCAUGAUGACCAUGUCCAUGGCCAUGCGACCAUCCUUUAGCUUGAGCACUGGAAAUUACUCCAACAAUUAAGAGUGAAGCAGCUAAAUAAAUAAUCUAAUCAACAAUUUGAUUCGAGACGAGAAAAAAAAAGAAACAGUUAAAUUAAGUUGAUCGUUGUAACGAAACUAAGGAUUACGAUGAAAGUUUCAUAUAUUAAUCCGAAAAACACUAACCUUUGUCAUUAUUAUUGUGGAUUAACGGUUAACACUAAAAACUUUAAAACUGUUUGGUUAAUUGUUGUUGUUGUUGUUGUUGUUUGAUUGGUGAAAGUUGAAAUUGUGAUUUCUAAAUUGUCCAGAAUAAUGUUUAUAUACUCAACAAUUUGCGACUACAAAGUCAACACCCAAAUGAGAGGAAGUUGAUUUUUAAAGGUCGAAUCAGUAAAUUAUUAUAUAAUCAGUGAUACUAAUAAGUUAAUUAGUAUCAGUUGGUUAAGUGAAAAAAAAAGUUAAUGCGAUGAUUAAAAAAAAAUGUGAUGUUGUUGAUGAGGUUGGUGGUGUUAGUUGAUCAUCAUCAUAAUUAUCAUGAUUUAAGGUGAUUAGUAAAAAAUAGAUGAUCAAUCGGGAGGUGGUGGUGGUGGUGGAGUUGAUUGAAAGUGCACCAAGAAUCAAGAAAAGUUGAUUAUCGGAUUAACUGAUUGUUAUCGUUUUCUUAUUAUUAUUUGAUUAUCAUCAGUUUUUUAUAAAUAUAAAUUCCUCUCAUUAACUGGUAGUACACAUAAUUAGUUAUGUUUACAAUAUGUUUUCAAGUGAUUAACUUGAUUGUGGUACCACAUAAAUUAAAUUGUGUUGAAAGAUAAGCCACAGUUUAGUGAAUAUAUUGUUAUAUUUGUUUACAUUUGGCUCUUUAAUUGUUGUAAUAAUUUAACCAAAUUAUGAAUAUUUAAAAAUCUUUAAUGAUAAUAAUUAGUCUUGAUUGUGUUUGAUGGUAAACAGUAAAAUAAAUUCACUAAUCACAACAAUCAACCAACACUAAUUGUCAUUUUGUGAUUAGUACUUUUUUUUUCAUCAUUAACUUUUUAGUUAUUGUUUUAUUUUGGUUCAACUAAUUUCAAACUUGAUUUACAAUUUAAAAUAAAUUAUUUAUCAUUUUUUUUUUGUU